AGUGAACGCUGGCGGUAGGCCUAACACAUGCAAGUCGAACGGCAGCACAGUAGGAGCUUGCUCUUACGGGUGGCGAGUGGCGGACGGGUGAGGAAUACAUCGGAAUCUACUUUUUCGUGGGGGAUAACGUAGGGAAACUUACGCUAAUACCGCAUACGACCUACGGGUGAAAGCAGGGGAUCUUCGGACCUUGCGCGAUUGAAUGAGCCGAUGUCGGAUUAGCUAGUUGGCGGGGUAAAGGCCCACCAAGGCGACGAUCCGUAGCUGGUCUGAGAGGAUGAUCAGCCACACUGGAACUGAGACACGGUCCAGACUCCUACGGGAGGCAGCAGUGGGGAAUCUUGGACAAUGGGCGCAAGCCUGAUCCAGCAAUACCGCGUGGGUGAAGAAGGCCUUCGGGUUGUAAAGCCCUUUUGUUGGGAAAGAAAAGCAGCAGGUUAAUCCCCCGCUGUUCUGACGGUACCCAAAGAAUAAGCACCGGCUAACUUCGUG
rnacentral:rRNA from 1 species